AUGCUGUCACUGCUCCACGCAUCAACGCUGGCAGUCCUUGGGGCUCUGUGUGUAUAUGGUGCAGGUCACCUAGAGCAACCUCAAAUUUCCAGUACUAAAAUGCUGUCAAAAACAGCCCGCCUGGAAUGUGUGGUGUCUGGAGUAACAAUUUCUGCAACAUCUGUAUAUUGGUAUCGAGAAAGACCUGGUGAAGUCAUACAGUUCCUGGUGUCCAUUUCAUAUGACGGCACAGUCAGAAAGGAAUCCGGCAUUCCGUCAGGCAAAUUUGAGGUGGAUAGGAUACCUGAAACGUCUACAUCCACUCUCACCAUUCACAAUGUAGAGAAACAGGACAUAGCUACCUACUACUGUGCCUUGUGGGAGUUGGGCAAAAAAAUCAAGGUAUUUGGUCCCGGAACAAAGCUUAUCAUUACAGAUAAACACCUUGAUGCAGAUGUUUCCCCCAAGCCCACUAUUUUUCUUCCUUCAAUUGCUGAAACAAAGCUCCAGAAGGCUGGAACAUACCUUUGUCUUCUUGAGAAAUUUUUCCCGGAUAUUAUUAAGAUACAUUGGCAAGAAGAGAAGAGCAACACGAUUCUGCGAUCCCAGGAGGGGAACACCAUGAAGACUAACGACACAUACAUGAAAUUUAGCUGGUUAACGGUGCCAGAAAAGUCACUGAAGAAAGAACACAGAUGUAUCGUCAGACAUGAGAAUAAUAAAAACGGAGUUGAUCAAGAAAUUAUCUUUCCUCCAAUAAAGACAGAUGUCAUCACAAUGGAUCCCAAAGACAAUUGUUCAAAAGAUGCAAAUGAUACACUACUGCUGCAGCUCACAAACACCUCUGCAUAUUACAUGUACCUCCUCCUGCUCCUCAAGAGUGUGGUCUAUUUUGCCAUCAUCACCUGCUGUCUGCUUAGAACAACGGCUUUCUGCUGCAAUGGAGAGAGAUCGUAACAGACGGUGGCACAAGGAAGCCAUCGUUUCCUCAUCGGUUAUUGUCCCUAGAAGUGUCUUCUGAGGAUCUAGUUGGGCUUUCUUUCUGGGUUUGGGCCAUUUCAGUUCUCAUGUGUGUACUAUUCUAUCAUCAUUGUAUAAUGGUUUUCAAACCAGUGGGCACACAGAAAACCUCACUCUGUAAUAACAGUGAGGAAUAGCCACGGCGAUCUUCAGCACCAAUCUCUCCAUGUUUUCCACAGCUCCUCCAGCCAACCCAAAUAGCGCCUGCUAUAGUGUAGACAGCCUGCGGCUUCUAGCCUUGUCCCUCUCUUAGUGUUCUUUAAUCACAUAACUGCCUGGAAGCCUUUCAUUUUACACGCCCUGAAGCAGUCUUCUUUGCUAGUUGAAUUAUGUGGUGUGUUUUUUGUA